rnacentral:lncRNA from 1 species
AAGACACGAAAAUUCAUUAAUUUGCGAAAAGUUCAUAUUUAUAUAAAUAUUGAAUUAAUAUUUAGUUUCAUACAAUAAUAUAACUGGUAUGUUACAUUUUAAAUGUACUUAUUAAUCUAACAUUAAUAACUUGUGUAUUUACAAAUAAAAUAUGACGUAAUUCAUAAUUUAUAUCAAUAAUGUUUAUAAGAAUAGGCUAUGAUGUAAGAUAAUAUAAUAACUUCAGGUUCUGUGUUUGCCCCAUUGUAGACUGUAGGGGGAGCUGAAGGGUUUUCAUAAGAUUUUAGGUUGAGUCGGGGCUGCAUCCGCCCUGAGCAUCAUCAUCAUCAUCUUCUUCAUCAUCAUCACACUAGCAUCUGGAGCGGAGGAGGAGGCGGGAGCGCGGGCGCGUCACCGAGCGCAUCCUUAAGGAGCGCGCAGGCACAGAAGAAAACAUCCACAGCUCGGCCACCCAUUCAGCUGAGGAUCGGCCUGGAGAGAUUCAUGGAAAUAAAAUAGAAAUUCAUUCCCGUUGCUUUUUAUUUUUGUUUUCUGCUCACAGCCAAGCUACUGGACUUCAAAAUGGCUGAGAUGAAUAAUUUAAAACCAACCUAUGCACACAGUGUCUCUCCACAACACGACUGCAGCUGAUCCUCGUCCUCACCCUGCUGGUGCUGUCAUAUCACCACGGACAGCAGAUAUGGAGAGAUACACCGUCCUCACAUGGCAGCUAACUAAACCUCUUUGUGAUCCUGCUGAACAGAGAGCAAAACUGCGGGUGGCGUAUGAACGAAAACAAAAGAACGAGCGAAAGCUGAGAGUCUAGCAGUGCUGAGCAUCAUUAUUCACACCUGUCCGCUCCGCCACAAGCACAUGCUCUUUUCUUAACCUCAUCAUUUUCCCAUCCUGCUUUCUCUUCAUUUCUACUCAUCACGAACUCCACCCUGCCGUCCAGCUCAGCGGUGACUACAGACAAAGCCAUCAUUUCUCAUUUGUGGGCUAUUUUGUCCAGCUUAUUAAUCAUGUGCGCCCACACGCGUACACACUCAUUGGGCUCAUGGUUGUGCGUCUGGAGCACAUUAUGGAGGGUGUCAUAAUCAGAGGCGUGUGUUUGGCGCAGAUAAUGUAUUGGUUUUUUGAGGAAUGAGCUGUGCUGACGUACAUUAAUAUCUGUUGAGAGACCGCCGCACAUUCUGGAGCAUUAAGAGAUGUCGCAUUUAAAAUUCAAAUGUAAUGAAUAAAACAGAAGGG